rnacentral:rRNA from 1 species
AGAGUUUGAUCCUGGCUCAGGAUGAACGCUAGCGGCAGGCCUAAUACAUGCAAGUCGAGGGGCAGCACAGGUAGCAAUACUGGGUGGCGACCGGCAAACGGGUGCGGAACACGUACGCAACCUUCCUUUGAGCGGGGAAUAGCCCAUAGAAAUGUGGAUUAAUACCCCGUAAUAUCGUUGUCAGGCAUCUGAUGGCGAUUAAAGCUCCGGCACUCGAAGAUGGGCGUGCGUCUGAUUAGGUAGUUGGUGAGGUAACGGCUCACCAAGCCGACGAUCAGUAACUGGCGUGAGAGCGCGACCAGUCACACGGGCACUGAGACACGGGCCCGACUCCUACGGGAGGCAGCAGUAAGGAAUAUUGGUCAAUGGACGCAAGUCUGAACCAGCCAUGCCGCGUGGAGGAUGAAGGUCCUCUGGAUUGUAAACUUCUUUUAUCUGGGAAGAAAUGUCGGUUUUCUAACUGGCUUGACGGUACCAGAUGAAUAAGCACCGGCUAACUCCGUGCCAGCAGCCGCGGUAAUACGGAGGGUGCAAGCGUUAUCCGGAUUCACUGGGUUUAAAGGGUGCGUAGGCGGAUUUGUAAGUCCGUGGUGAAAUCUCCGAGCUUAACUCGGAAACUGCCAUGGAUACUAUAAGUCUUGAAUGUUGUGGAGGUUUGCGGAAUAUGUCAUGUAGCGGUGAAAUGCUUAGAUAUGACAUAGAACACCGAUUGCGAAGGCAGCAGGCUACACAAAUAUUGACGCUGAGGCACGAAAGCGUGGGGAGCGAACAGGAUUAGAUACCCUGGUAGUCCACGCUGUAAACGUUGGGCGCUAGGUGUGGGGGGCCUCUCCGGUUUCCUGCGCCGUAGCUAACGCAUUAAGCGCCCCGCCUGGGGAGUACGGCCGCAAGGCUAAAACUCAAAGGAAUUGACGGGGGCCCGCACAAGCGGCGGAGCAUGCGGAUUAAUUCGAUGCGACGCGAAGAACCUUACCUGGGUUUGACAUCGCCGGAAAUCUCGCAGAGAUGCGGGGUCCUUCGGGGCCGGUGACAGGUGGUGCUAGGCUGUCGUCAGCUCGUGUCGUGAGAUGUUGGGUUAAGUCCCGCAACGAGCGCAACCCUCGUUCCAUGUUGCCAGCGGGUUAUGCCGGGGACUCAUGGGAGACUGCCGGGGUCAACUCGGAGGAAGGUGGGGAUGACGUCAAGUCAUCAUGCCCCUUAUGUCCAGGGCUUCACGCAUGCUACAAUGGCCGGUACAAUGGGCUGCGAUACCGCGAGGUGGAGCGAAUCCCAAAAAGCCGGUCUCAGUUCGGAUCGGGGUCUGCAACUCGACCCCGUGAAGUCGGAGUCGCUAGUAAUCGCAGAUCAGCAACGCUGCGGUGAAUACGUUCCCGGGCCUUGUACACACCGCCCGUCACGUCACGAAAGUCGGCAACACCCGAAGCCCAUGGCCCAACCCCGUAAGGGGAGGGAGUGGUCGAAGGUGGGGCUGGCGAUUGGGACGAAGUC